AGAGCGAACGCUGGCGGCAGGCCUAACACAUGCAAGUCGAGCGCCGUAGCAAUACGGAGCGGCAGACGGGAGAGUAACACGUGGGAACGUGCCCUUUGGUUCGGAACAACACAGGGAAACUUGUGCUAAUACCGGAUAAGCCCUUACGGGGAAAGAUUUAUCGCCAAAGGAUCGGCCCGCGUCUGAUUAGCUAGUUGGUGAGGUAACGGCUCACCAAGGCGACGAUCAGUAGCUGGUCUGAGAGGAUGAUCAGCCUCACUGGGACUGAGACACGGCCCAGACUCCUACGGGAGGCAGCAGUGGGGAAUAUUGGACAAUGGGCGCAAGCCUGAUCCAGCCAUGCCGCGUGGAUGAUGAAGGCCUAGGGUUGUAAAGUCCUUUUAACGGGGAAGAUAAUGACGGUACCGUAGAAUAAGCCCCGGACUAACUUCGCGCCAGCAGCCGC
rnacentral:rRNA from 1 species